GGGCGCGCGGGCGGCGACCCGACCUUUCCUCCCUUCUCUCCCCCAACUCCCGCCUCUCCCUCCGCUCCCCCUCAGCCCCUCCUUCCACACUCCGCUGCCUCCUCUCUCUUGACAGCUGCCCGGCACCUUCGGCAGGGAGUUUGGAGCCGCCCCACCGCAGAGCCUACAGCCGGCCGAGCCCCCGCGCCGCCGCCAUCUCUGCCUCCGCCUGGGUGGGACCUGGGCCUCGAGGUCUCCUUCCUACUUUGGAAACUGAAGGGACUGCGACGGAAACCAACGGCUUGUGUAUAUGUCAGUUUUUUUAUGUGCGUG